rnacentral:ncRNA from 2 species
UAAAAAUUAAUUUCAUAUUUUCGUAUAUACUCAGGAAUAUGGCCUGAGCGUUUCUACCGAGCUACCGUAAAUGGCUUGACUACGAAGGAAGUACGUUGUUAU